AUGAUGUCUGGACCUCCUCCAGUGCUAUUAUCUUGGGCCUUUGCUAUAUGUUCUAGUACGGGUAGGCAGGGCAGCAGACUGCCUUGUCAUCCUCCUGACAGCAAGGCCAAACACAUGUGCUGCUCUGGCUUGUCUGUCCCUCUUCCCUUACUGCAUGAAAAGACAGGCUGCUGGUACCUUUGCCAUACAUAUCAUAUCGGUCAUUUCCAGAGGCUGUUUCUGAUCGUCUGCCUAUCUCUCACCUACUUUGCCUACCUGAUCAAAGCGCAGCCCGACGACCCCGAGUCGCAGAUGGCCUGCCACGUUUUCCGCGCCACAGACCCCAACCAGGAGUAGGCUUCAUACAGAGUAGGCUCUGGCCACCCUUGAAAUCAGAAGGAGGAAGACCUGCUGUUUGCUUUUUCCUGAGUUCUUCAUUUGAAGCGCAGCCUUGUUUGGCUGGAUUUAAGAUCAUUGUUAAGAGAUCCUCCUGUUUUCUGCAUUCAUUAAACAAAGCCUGGAAGGUGGCUUAGAGGGGCCUGCAGGCCUCUCCCAAUCAGCAUGCCUCUGCUUUGUCUCUCCUACCUGUUGCUUUUCUGCAAUGGACCUAACUGUAGGAUGUGAUUUAUUCAUUUUUUGGCAAUUUUUAUUGUGAAAGAUGCCUCACUAAUAAUUACACGAGCAUAACAAGUUACAAACUUGGACUAUUCAGGACAAACCCGUGUGUGAGUUCACUAUAGCUAAAUGACAAAGUUUGUAGUGGGACAAGGUGUCACAUGCAUAUGGUCCCAGCUACUACUCCAGGGCUGAGGCAGGAGGAUGAUUGAGUUCAAGGCUAGCCUAGACAAAUAAUAAGAUCCCAUAAAAAGAGGCAGUCUCCUUUCAUGCUGAGCCACUGAGUUGUGAUUUCUAAUAGAAAUCACUCAAAUGUCCUUUGACAUUUCUAAUAGAAAUCACUCAAUGUCCUUUUGAGGGUGGAUCUCCUUGUGACCACAGAGCUGGGAUGUAACUUACUGGAUAUGUCAACUAAAAAUGUCAUUCAUAUGUUACUUUAAGAUUCUGAUGUUGUUUAUCUGUCUGAGUAGCUCUUUAAAACUUUUUUUAAAAAACUGAACAUUUAUUCUUUGAAAAUAAACUCUUGAUGGGUGAUGGUACUGUUCUCCUUUUCCUAGAUUUUUGC
rnacentral:lncRNA from 1 species